AUUAAGGCUAUAAUAAAAUUGUUAAUAAUUAAAAUAAUAUAAAAUAUUAUAAAUAUAAUUGAAUAAAUAGUAGGGUUUACUAAAAUAUUUAAAUAGUUUCCAAUAGGUUUAACCGUGAGGGUAGUAAAAUUUAGUAAUAUUAUUUAAAUAGAAGAAAUAAAUUUAUAUAUACCUUUUGUAUUAUGGUUGAUUAAAAUUAAAGUAAAAUUAUACUAAGAACGAAGGCAAGUGAGCAAAUAGUUUCCCCAAUUUGGUUGGAGUUUUCUAGUUGUUGAAAAAGUAUGAAAAGAGAAUCUAUUAGUGGUGAUAUGCCAAACGAACUUGCGGAUAGCUUUUUUUCAGAGAAGGGAGUGCAAGCUUCGUUUAUAUUUAUAAAGUUAUAAGGAGGCGGUUGACCGAGUCCUUAUUAAUAGUAAUAACUAGAAAAUUUAAGUAAAAUCAAUAAAAAUUUUUAUAGGUUUUAAAGUAGAUUUUUAGCAAUCAUCUUAAAAGAGUGCGUUUGAGCACAAGGACAUAAGGAGAAUAAAAUUAAUGAAAAUAGUUUUGAGCUUAUUAUAGAUUAUCUGAAUAUUCUAUUAAAUGAAAUAAUGAUGGUUAAAUUAGUAGAUAACUUCUAGUUAAAGUAAUAAAAGUUUAAAUUAUAGAAAACAAAAUAAUAUAUUAUUAACAUAUUUUCUUAUUUUAGUAGAAGAAACAUAGAAUAAUUAUAGGAAGGAACUCGGCAAAUUUUAUCCUCGCCUGUUUACCUAAAACAUUGCUUCCGGAACAAGAUCGAGAGGUACGACCUGCCCGGUGACCUAAUGGUUAAACGGCUGCAGUACUCUGACUGUGCAAAGGUAGCAUAAUAAUUUGCCUAGUAAUUUUAGGCUGGAAUCAACGGUUAGACGAAGGAAAAGCUGUCUCCCUUUAAUUUAAUUGAAUUUAAUUUUAAAGUGAAGAAGCUUUAAUAAAAGAGUGGGACGAGAAGACCCUAUUGAGCUUUAAUCUAAUUAAAAAUUUAUAUUUUAAAAAGAUUUUGAUUGGGGCAAUCCUUUUUAUAAUAAAACAAAGGUAAGGAUAUAAUGAAUUUAUACUAAGUUAAGACCCUAAAGUUUUAGGAAUAAGAAAAAGUUACCAUAGGGAUAACAGCGUUAUUUUUCUUGAGAGUACAUAUUGACAGAAAAGUUUGCGACCUCGAUGUUGGAUUAAGAUUUCCUGGAUGUGCAGCAGCCUCUAAGGGUUGGUUUGUUCAACCAUAAAAAUCUUACGUGAUCUGAGUUAAGUCCGUUGUGAGACAGGACAGUUUCUAUCUACUAUUAACUUUUAUUUUGUACGAAAGGACUUUUAAAGGAAGAAAUAUAUAUAUAUAUAAUUCUUAUGUUAUCAUGAGAUAUAAAUAAAUCUAUAUAAGGGUUU
rnacentral:rRNA from 1 species